rnacentral:misc_RNA from 1 species
GAACGCACCUUGCACCUUUUGGUAUUCCGAAAGGUACACCCGUUUGAGUGUCAUUGUAAUCUCACUCCUUCAACUUUGUUGUUGCUGGAUGUGGACUUGGACUCUGUCGUGUUACAACGACUGGUCUGAAAUGCCUGAGUGCACCCUGCUGUUGCAGCGUCUUCAGUGUGAUAAGCAUCUUCACUGAUUCAAGUUCCUUUGGGACACGUAGCAUUGUGGGCUCUGUGCUGACAAACCGUCCUCGGACAACCUUUGACAAUUUGACCUCAAAUCGGGUGGGACUACCCGCUGAACUUAAG